rnacentral:rRNA from 1 species
GAUGAACGCUAGCGGCAGGCUUAACACAUGCAAGUCGAGGGGUAUAGGUUUUCGGACCUAGAGACCGGCGCACGGGUGCGUAACGCGUAUGCAAUCUACCUUUCACAGAGGGAUAGCCCAGAGAAAUUUGGAUUAAUACCUCAUAGUAUAACGACUCGGCAUCGAGAUGUUAUUAAAGUCACAACGGUGAAAGAUGAGCAUGCGUCCCAUUAGCUUGUUGGUAAGGUAACGGCUUACCAAGGCUACGAUGGGUAGGGGUCCUGAGAGGGAGAUCCCCCACACUGGUACUGAGACACGGACCAGACUCCUACGGGAGGCAGCAGUGAGGAAUAUUGGUCAAUGGACGCAAGUCUGAACCAGCCAUGCCGCGUGCAGGAUGACGGUCCUAUGGAUUGUAAACUGCUUUUGCACAGGAAGAAACAACAUUACGUGUAAUGUCUUGACGGUACUGUGAGAAUAAGGAUCGGCUAACUCCGUGCCAGCAGCCGCGGUAAUACGGAGGAUCCAAGCGUUAUCCGGAAUCAUUGGGUUUAAAGGGUCCGUAGGCGGUUUAGUAAGUCGGGUGUGAAAUCCCCAGGCUUAACCUGGGAACUGCAUUCGAGACUGCAUUGCUAGAGUAUGGGAGAGGGAAGUGGAAUUUCCGGUGUAGCGGUGAAAUGCGUAGAUAUCGGAAGGAACAUCAGUGGCGAAAGCGACUUCCUGGGACCAAUACUGACGCUCAUGUGCGAAAGCGUGGGGAGCAAACAGGAUUAGAUACCCUGGUAGUCCACGCCAUAAACGAUGAGAACUGGAUGUCGGGAG